rnacentral:rRNA from 1 species
GAUCCUGGCUCAGGAUGAACGCUAGCGACAGGCUUAACACAUGCAAGUCGAGGGGCAGCACGGUGUAGCAAUACACUGGUGGCGACCGGCGCACGGGUGAGUAACACGUGUGCAACCAACCCCGUACCGGGAGAUAACCCGCGGAAACGUGGACUAACAUCCCAUAACACUCUAGAGCCGCAUGGUUCUGGAUUUAAAACCCCGGUGGUACGGGACGGGCACGCGCGACAUUAGGUAGUUGGCGGGGUAACGGCCCACCAAGCCG